GAAAAAGGAGAGGGGAGCAACACAGUUUUUGAAGCAGAAGUAGCAGAAGGACGGAGGGAGGCACAGAACCUGCAUCCUGAUCUUAUGGUUGCAAGAUGGAUAAGAAGUAUGGAGGGAAGUAAAAAAACGGAAGGAAGUUUCCCUGAAAGUUGCAAUCUACACAUCAAAGAGGUAACAUCAGAGCUGUAAAGAAAGGAUGUCUGGGCCUUGAUCCUUCUAUCUCUCUGGCUUUCUCAUCAAGUCCCUCUUUGAAGUUAAGAGACAACAUGAAGUCCUUCACUUCUAACAGG